rnacentral:rRNA from 1 species
UACGAAGGGGGCUAGCGUUGUUCGGAAGUACUGGGCGUAAAGCGCACGUAGGCGGAUCUGUAAGUAGGGGGUGAAAUCCCCGGGCUCAACCCGGGAACUGCCUUCUAGACUGCAGACCUUGAGAUCAGGAGAGGCGAGCGGAAUUCCGAGUGUAGAGGUGAAAUUCGUAGAUAUUCGGAGGAACACCAGUGGCGAAGGCGGCUCGCUGGACUGAUACUGACGCUGAGGUGCGAAAGCGUGGGGAGCAAACAGG